rnacentral:lncRNA from 1 species
ACGGAAAAUGGCUGCCUCCCUGCGGCCGCCGCCGCUCCAGCGGCUCCAGGGUCGAAGCCAUAGGGGAAGCCGCUUCUCGGUUACCUCGGCCAGCUUGGCUUCCGUGGAGGCCGCUCCUCGCUUUCUGAGGCUCAAACGCAAGCCACCGCCCGAAAGGCCGCCGAUCUGAGGAGCGCAACCGCCAGCCCACCGCUGGCCUACCGCAGCCCUGUCCAGAGAAACGGAGACCUAAGAAGUGACUUGCUCAGGGUCACAUAGCUCAGCAGUGGCGGCCGCUAAUCGGAAAUAGCUCUCCUGUUGUGGUAUCCUCUGCGUUUUCCACUCCAGUAUUCUUCCCUGGAAAAUGGGAACCUUGUUUUCAUCUUAUAUCUCAUGCAGCGCCUAACAUAGUCACCUGCACCUGGAAUGGAUAAAAGUGGCAGUUUUUGUUUCUUCCCAUGAGGUUGUGUAUCUGGACUGAGAACCAGGAAAUUAAUCUAGACUAAGACAUUUCUAAGGACCUGGAAUGGCUUUGGGGAGCACCAGGAGGACCCGAAAAGAGUAUUUGAGGGCCUAGAGGGACAGA